UACAUGGUAAGUUCAGGUCAGUCAGUA
rnacentral:piRNA from 1 species